GCCUGUCACCAAACAACCACCAAAAGUGCUACCUGAAACACGCACAACAAACCACGAGACCAAGAAAAGGAGUGGACUGUCACCGGAACGGUCGCCGGAAAACAGUGCCAGUCCGAGAAAUAGUGGUGCGACGAGAAAAGGUUCGGAAAAUGGGAAACACAGAGUAGGGUGGUGUGGUUGGGCCGGAAAAGCAGAAGAAAAACGAGACGGCGCCGGUGGUUCGCCCGUCGCCGGCCUAACUGCUGCUAGGGUUAAAAGAAAGGGGAAGAAAGAGAGAGACGCGGGGAGGGAGAAAGGAGAGAGAAAGAGAGGGACGAGUAGUUACCUGGUUUACCUAGACGAGUGCCGGCGCGGGGAUUUGCCGGUGGAGAUGUUACCAAAAAUUCUUUUUUAAAAAUUAUUUUUGACAAAAGCAAUUCUCAAAAUAACAUGAUUUUAGAACCUUGCCAAAAUUCUACAUUCUCUUCUCCCUUUUGUCUUAUAGAACUUAAACAUCAAUUCCGUCCAGCAAGCUUGCGAUUCCCUUCACUCCGACGAGUAGGUUAUCAUUUCUUUGCUAUAAGGAGAUAUUGAUAUAGGAGGCAGUUAAGCUUACACCCAAUAUUCUUUGACCAUUAAGAAACUGAAGACCAAACAAAUCGAGAAACCAUAAGAAAUGAUGAGCUCAGUAGCGAAACAUGUAUCCACCAUCUUCAAUCGACCGAACGUAGCCUUGUUGAAUCCACUAAGUUGGGAGCAGCAGCUACAACAAUGGCGGGGCAUACGGGUGAAGGUGCGGAACAACAACUUAGACCAAGCACUGUUCUUGAUGCAGAGGAAAAGCAGUCAAGCGGAAUGGAACGCCUCAUAAAGCGUGAACAGCUUCACCAUAUCAAGAACUCGGAGAAGCGCAUCUUGGCUCGUAAGCUCUUGAACAUAAACUCCGUUCUCAAGACCUUGCUCGUAAGCUCAAAUCCAUCCUCAUCAAGAAAGUUAGGGGUUUAUAAAGAAGGAUGUUCCAGCAGAAUUUCUUCAUCAACUUUCUGGACUUGGCUGGCUGAUUGCUACGGAAUCGCCAUUUUCUUGCACCUUCCUACGUGGACUACACCUUUGAGAAUAAUUUUUUGACUUCAAUGAGAUUUCUCUCCUUGAUGUAGAAUUUUGGCAAAUGUUAAUAGAAGAUCAUUGCUAGUUUGCUACAUAGUGUCGUUUCUUUUUC